ACCUCCUCACCUCUCCUGAGUCCUCCUUCUUCACUUCAUCCGCAUCCUCUCUACUGACACCAUGGGCUGCUGUGGUUGUGGAAGUUGUGGUGGCUGUGGUGGUGGCUGUGGUGGCUGCGGUGGUGGCUGCGGUGGUGGCUGCGGUGCUGCACCACCUGCAGGUGCUACCGGGUGGGCUGCUGCUCCAGCUGCUGCCCCUGCUGCCGCGGCUGCUGUGGAGGCUGUUGCAGCACACCUGUGAUCUGCUGCUGCCGCCGCACCUGCCGCUCAUGUGGCUGUGGCUGUAGGAAGGGCUGUUGCCAGCAGAAGUGCUGCUGCCAGAAGCAAUGCUGCUGUUAGGUAGGGCCCUCAGCCUCUGGCAGCUGCUGCAGGUAACUGCUGUAGGUAAGCUUUCCCCUUCUGGCUGCCACUGACUAAUAGGACACAAGCAUGACCUGAACCUGUCACCUGCCCGUGAGUAUUUCACAUUUCUAUAGUUUUUUUGUGAUUCUGCCUGCAUUUAAUCAUCAUCACCAACAAAAAUAACAACCAUGCAGCCUUCUAUGUUGAUUACAACUCAAGUCAUGACCUCAACAAAAUGGAGUGAAGAUAGUUAGACCUUGAAAUGCCUCUAAGGUUGCCUUCAUUUCUGUGCUGUUUUUACCGCUGCCUGGGUAUAUUUGUAUACACAAAGCAACACUUAUCUUAAUAAAUUAUACUAAAUCAUUCUCAAAGAGCUAUCUCUUUUGUUCUUUCCA
rnacentral:lncRNA from 1 species